GACGAACGCUGGCGGCGCGCUUAACACAUGCAAGUCGAACGGAAAGGCCUGCUUUCCCUUGUGGAUUGCGGGUACUCGAGUGGCGAACGGGUGAGUAACACGUGAGUGAUCUGCCCCCAACUUGGGUAUAAGCCUGGGAAACUGGGUCUAAUUCCCGAUAGGACUGCAGGGUGGUGCCUGUGGUGGAAAACGAUUUUCUAGUGGUUGGGGAUGAGCUCGCGGCCUAUCAGCUUGUUGGUGGGGUAAUGGCCUACCAAGGCGGCGACGGGUAGCCGGCCUGGGAGGGUGGACGGCCAGAUUGGGACUGAGAUACGGCCCAGACUCCUACGGGAGGCAGCAGUGGGGAAUAUUGCACAAUGGGAGGAAGCCUGAUGCAGCGACGCCGCGUGGGGGAUGACGGCCUUCGGGUUGUAAACUCCUUUCGACCGCGAGGAAGCCACCUGGUUGGAAGGGUGGUGACGGUAGUGGUAGAAGAAGCACCGGCUAACUACGUG
rnacentral:rRNA from 1 species